GAAGUCCGUUACGAUGAAGGAAUAGCGAGCCACAUCGGCCCCGAGCCGUGCGCAGGCAUCCGUGAGGAGGUCGGCGAAGCGUCGGCAGGGGAGUGCAUAGGCCAGCCAUUGAGCCGCGAAAGAGGGUUUUUCCGGGCGCCGACGCCGUCAACUGGGCGGAAGGCGAAAUGGGCAGGCGCGCAAGCGCGAGUGUCUGUCCGGCCCGGCGUGGUCGGAGACCC
rfam:Mesorhizobium alhagi CCNWXJ12-2 contig197, whole genome shotgun sequence.